rnacentral:rRNA from 1 species
AUGCCCCAAAAUUCUUUUAUUAUUGCUACCAAGACAGUCAGUGCAGAGGUGUAUGUCUUUGAUUAUAGCAAGCACCCAUCAAAGCCUCCACUAGAUGGUGCGUGCAAUCCUGAUUUACGGCUGAAGGGACACAACUCUGAAGGAUAUGGCCUGUCCUGGAGUAUCUUUAAAGAGGGUCAUUUGCUGAGUGGAUCGGAUGAUGCUCAAAUUUGCUUAUGGGACAUCACAGCAAAUGGUAAAAAUAAAACUCUCGACGCAUACCAGAUUUUUAAGGUGAAUUGCCUGGCUUUCAGUCCUUUCAAUGAAUGGGUUGUUGCAACUGGUUCAACCGACAAGACUGUCAAAUUAUUUGAUCUUCGGAAGAUUGAUACUUCGCUGCACACUUUUGAUUGUCACAAAGGGGAAGUAUUUCAAGUUGGAUGGAGCCCAAAGAAUGAAACUAUACUUGCAUCUUGUUGUCUGGGAAGGAGGCUGAUGGUUUGGGAUCUAAGCAGAAUUGAUCAGGAGCAAACACCAGAGGAUGCGGAGGACGGCCCUCCUGAGCUCUUGUUCAUACAAGCAAAAUCUCUGACUUCUCCUGGAACCCGUGUGAGGACUGGGUGCUUGCAAGCGUUGCUGAAGACAACAUCCUUCAGAUAUGGCAGAUGGCGGAGAACAUCUACCAUGACGAGGAUGAUAUUCCCAGCGAUGAGCCGGCAAAGGCGUCAUGAAACCUUUAAUGGUAGUAGGACACCAGAAUGGAGGCAAGAUAAUACCUAG